rnacentral:rRNA from 1 species
CGGUAAUACCGGCGCCUCGAGUGGUAGUCGAUUUUAUUGGGCCUAAAACGUCCGUCGCCGGUCUGGUGCAUUCGUGGGUAAAUCAACCCGCUCAACGGGUUGAAUUCUGCGAGCACGGCCAGACUAGGGACCGGGAGAGGUGUGGGGUACGCUCGGGGUAGGGGUAAAAUCCUGUCAUCCCGAGCGGACCACCUGUUGCGAAGGCUCCACACUAGAACGGAUCCGACGGUCAGGGACGAAGCCUAGGGGCACGAACCGGAUUAGAUACCCGGGUAGUCCUAGGUGUAAACGCUGUGGACUUGGUGUUGGGAGCUCCCAGAGGGCUCUCAGUGCCGUAGCGAAGGUGAUAAGUCCACUGCCUGGGGAGUACGGUCGCAAGGCUGAAACUUAAAGGAAUUGGCGGGGGAACACCGCAACCUGAGGAUUGUGCGGUUUAAUUGGAUUCAACGCCGGAAAACUCACCAGUGCCGACGGAC